rnacentral:tRNA from 1 species
UGGGAGGUAGUAUAACCUAAUAUAUUAUGCUUACAACAUAAAGACCCAUUUUUGGUCUCCCUU